GUGGCUAUGGUGUAAUGGCAGCACGAGAGUUUGUGGAACUCUUAGAGGCGGUUCAAGUCCGCUUAGCCACC
rnacentral:tRNA from 1 species